GACGAACGCUGGCGGCGUGCUUAACACAUGCAAGUCGAGCGGUAAGGCCCUUUCGGGGGUACACGAGCGGCGAACGGGUGAGUAACACGUGGGUGACCUGCCCUCAGCUCUGGGAUAAGCCUGGGAAACCGGGUCUAAUACCGGAUAUGACUCCAUGGCGCAUGUUGUGGGGUGGAAAGCCUUGUGCGGCUGAGGAUGGGCCCGCGGCCUAUCAGCUUGUUGGUGGGGUGAUGGCCUACCAAGGCGACGACGGGUAGCCGGCCUGAGAGGGCGACCGGCCACACUGGGACUGAGACACGGCCCAGACUCCUACGGGAGGCAGCAGUGGGGAAUCUUGCGCAAUGGGCGAAAGCCUGACGCAGCGACGCCGCGUGAGGGAUGACGGCCU
rnacentral:rRNA from 1 species